GCCCGCUCAGAAACUCAAAGGAAGUUGACGGGGCCCGGCAUAAGCGGUGGAGUAUGUGGUUUAAUUCGAUGCAACGCGAAGAACCUUACCUGGUCUUGACAUCCCGGAGACCCUUAGGAAACUAGGGGUGGCCUCCAUCUGGAAGAAUCUGGAGACAGGUGCUGCAUGGCUGUCGUCAGCUCGUGUCGUGAGAUGUUGGGUUAAGUCCCGCAACGAGCGCAACCCUUGCCUUUAGUUGCCAGCAGUUCGGCUGGGCACUCUAAAGGGACUGCCGGUGUUAAACCGGAGGAAGGUGGGGAUGACGUCAAGUCCUCAUGGCCUUUAUGACCAGGGCUACACACGUACUACAAUGGCCGAUACAAAGGGCAGCGACACUGCGAGGUGAAGCCAAUCCCGUAAAAUCGGUCUCAGUCCGGAUUGGAGUCUGCAACUCGACUCCAUGAAGUUGGAAUCGCUAGUAAUCGUGGAUCAGCAUGCCACGGUGAAUACGUUCCCGGGCCUU
rnacentral:rRNA from 1 species